GCCCUCGUAGAAAAAUGGUAAUUCGCCAGACUCCUAAUCUGGAGAUUGCGGUAGGUCUCUCUCCCCUUGUUCCCUUCCCUUCACUCUAGCUGACCGAAUCCAGGGUUCGAGUCCCGUCGGGGGUG